UCAGCACAGAGCCUGAGGUGGGGCUCGAAUUCAUGAAACGAUGAGAUCAUGACCUGAGCCAAAACCGAGAGUUGGAUACUUAACUGACUGAGCCACCUGGGUACCCCUCUCUUUUUUUUGAAUGGAGAUAUUUAUUACGAUUUUCUUAUUGCCAUCUCACCAUUGCAUGUUGGGUAUGUGAGGAGAGGGAGCAAACAAAUGUGUCUGUUUAGUUCACAAAUUUCCGGACUAAGAGGAGCCACAUGCAAGAAGCUGUACCUAAGAGGCCUUGUCCACAUCUGAACCAUCCACAUCUGGAUGAAGUUCCCAAGAUAUUGGACUCUGCGUUUGUGAUAAAACUAUAUGAUAGUUUCCAGCAAUCUCGGAACUUGUCCCGUGAAGAGAUGGAGUGGGUUUCUCUACCUCUUGAAUUGUGGCUGGCUCAUGACUCGAUUCAACCAACCAACCAACCAAACAGACAAAAAUGUGACAGAAGUGACAAUGUGUAAACUAAAGUAACAGACCACAGUCGCCGGUAUUUUCUUUCCUCUUCAAAACCACUUCUGCUCCAAAGACCAUGAACCUGAACUGAAGAAACGACUCUUUCCUGCUGGUGUGAGAUAAUUCAGUCUCCAUGAUGUCUUAAUCCUGGGCCUCCCUUAAUUGACUUCUAACUGUGCUGAACUGUGGCUGCUAGGAGUUGCAAUGUGGAUCGCAAUUUACAAGGCACUGGAAUCGUUUCUCGUCCUCAAAUUAGUCCUGAGCCAUACUCGAGAAAGAUUAAGAAAAAAAAAAAAGGUUUACCUUUCCUGGCUGUCUUGCCAUCUCAAAACGGCCACAGAACUUACUCAGCUUUGAAGAGACUGGAUCCUCCAUUUGAGACCUGAAGACCCUCCAUCAUGCAAGACUGACUGCCUGUCUAUAACUUUGUGGAGAGGCUGGUAUUAACAUACCAGGGCUCAUGGGUGAGCAUUCAGAUUGUUCUAUGAGGACGGUACAGUAUUGAUUUCAAGUUUACAUAAGACACUUGCUUGGAAGCAAAUUACAGGUUUUACAGGGACAACACACAUUGGCAUCAGGAGUGUUGGUUCCAGAAAACUGCUUGAGAAUUAAAUAUGUGCUCCACUGUGUCAAUGUCACCUAGGAGCUCUACUUAAGAGAAAAAGUGGAAGAAGAAGAGAAGAAGUGGAUUACAUUUUUAAAAUUAUCAUCAACAUAAAUUGAGUCUCAGGUGCUCUUUUUCUCCUUCUGCUUCCUGACACGUGACGACUACAUCUGCAAGCGUUGGAGUCGGACAUCCUAAGCCUGAGCCCAGACUUUGCCACUUGCCAGCGUGUCGGAGCUAGAUUAACCUUCUUUAACCCUCAGCUCUCUCAUCGAGCUGGAGAAUGGCCUCAGGUUGGAGGUGGAAAAGACUGGAAUGUGGUUUUAUGCCAGGCUGUGAGCUAUACAAGCCACUUCACCAGGAAACCAUUUCCAAGCCACAUACCGCUAGUAAUUAAUGCUGUAGUCGUGACACUUCCGUAAGUGGGUUACAGAUUGUUGCUGUGGUGUGUACAAAGCUUAUUGGAUAAAUGUCUUUAGGAAAGGGGAAGACAUUAGUCUCUUGGUGAUCAAUAGGAUAAUAAAUUGUGUGUUGUUUCUGUACCUGGAUUUAAUGUUUACCUUUCAAAUAAACGCUAGCUUGCUCAUUG